rnacentral:rRNA from 1 species
AGAAUCAACGCUGGCGGCGUGCCUAACACAUGCAAGUCGAACGAGAAAGUGGAGCAAUCCAUGAGUAAAGUGGCGCACGGGUGAGUAACACGUGACUAACCUACCCUUGAGUGGGGGAUAACCUAGAGAAAUCUGGGCUAAUACCGCAUAAUACCUUCGGGUCAAAGGAGCAAUUCGCUUAAGGAGGAGGUCGCGGCCGAUUAGUUAGUUGGCGGGGUAAUGGCCCACCAAGACUGUGAUCGGUAUCCGGCCUGAGAGGGCGCACGGACACACUGGAACUGAAACACGGUCCAGACUCCUACGGGAGGCAGCAGUGGGGAAUUUUGCGCAAUGGGGGAAACCCUGACGCAGCAACGCCGCGUGGAGGAUGAAGCCCCUUGGGGCGUAAACUCCUUUCGAUCGGGAAGAUAAUGACGGCACCGGAGAGAAGAAGCCCCGGCUAACUUCGUGCCAGCAGCCGC